rnacentral:lncRNA from 15 species
UCUGCUCAUUAUUCACAUUAUUCACAUUAUAUACACAUUAUAUACUGUACAUUAUAUACAUUAUAUAUCUGCUCAUUAUUCACAUUAAUCACAUUAUAUGCAUUAUAUACUGUACAUAUAUAAUAUAUAUAUAUUUAUAUAAAUAUAUUCCUGCAUUCAAACCUUACUUUAGUAAAAGUACACAGCUGUUAUUAAAAGUCACUCAGUUACAUUUCAUUUAGUCAUCUUUAUAUGUCGUUCCAGUUGGCUUAAUUUACUGUGUAAUAAUAAUAAUAAUAAUAACAAUAAUAAUAUUAAUAAUACCUUAUUUUAUAUGAAACCAUAUAAGUAAGUGAAGUAAUUAAAGCUGUCAGAUAAAUGCAGUGGAGUCGAAGUAGAAAGAUAAAAGAAUAUAAAGAUACCACAGUUACUAAGUUUUAUUAAAACAGACAGAACAAAUGACAUUUACACAUUAUUCAUUCUCACACUCACCACUGAAAGUGUGUGUUUCCUCCUUACAGUGAUUGACAGCUGAGGGGGCGGAGCCAGCACAGUCCUGCAGCUUGAGUCAACUACAGGCCGCCAUGUUGGUUCUGGUGUGGUUAUUGAUCCUGAUGAUGAUGAUGGCGAUGAAGAGUGACGCUGCCUCUGCUGGGAUCAUCACUGCAUACAGCGGAGAGACCGUUCUGCUGACAUCAAACCUGAAGGAGGUGGAGCUGAAGAACAUAAGUGACGUCAGGUGGACUCACCCCCAGCUGGUGGUCUCACUGAAGAGGAACAAUACAAUAUGUCCAAACCGACGCUGCGAGCUGCUGAAGGACGGCUCACUGAGAUUCAGCCGAGUUCAGACUGACGACUCUGGACACUACAUCAUGAGCCUGUUCGAUGAAGAGGGAAACAACAUGAAGAUGACUUACUUCCGGCUCGUAGUGGAGGAUCGCAGUAGUAGCAGCAGCAGCAGCAGAAGUGUCGUGGUGUCUGUCUCGAUGUGCUGCUUCCUCCUGCUGCUGUUCUUUGUCAUCCUCUUCGUGGUCAUGAGGAAGAGAAACCUGAGGAUGAGGACGACCACAGGUUCGUUGCACGAAAAUGUUUAUGUGGUGAUGCACGGUAACCAUAGCAACGACAAGAAAGAGGAGGAGGAGAAGAAGCAGGAGAAAGAGGAAGAGAAUCUUUAUGUCUCCUGUAAUCCUGGGGUUCCCAUGGAAACACCAAUCACACAGCAGAUGUGUGUGGAUGACAUCUACGUGUGACAGCCAAUCAGAAACUGUUUCAUCCACUGCCUCCUACUUGCUUGUAUUUCUUUAUUUCUAAUUUUCUAUCAAAAUAAACGUGUACGUAGACUUUGUGGAGGAUUCUGUUAUUUGUGUGUUGGACAGUUGAACAUGUCUGUCAGUGAUUACCACUCAGUUACUGACAUAAAGUGGG